rnacentral:rRNA from 1 species
CCUACGGGUGGCUGCAGUGGGGGAUAUUGCACAAUGGGGGGAACCCUGAUGCAGCGACGCCGCGUGGGUGAAGAAGCGCCUCGGCGCGUAAAGCCCUGUCAGCAGGGAAGAAAAUGACGGUACCUGAAGAAGAAGCCCCGGCGAACGACGGGCCAGCAGCCGCGGUAAUACGUAGGGGGCAAGCGUUAUCCGGAUUGACUGGGUGUAAAGGGGGCGCAGACGGCGCUGCAAGCCAGGAGUGAAAGCCCGGGGCCCAACCCCGGGACUGCUCUUGGAAGUGCGUGGCUGGAGUGCAGGAGGGGCAGGCGGCAUUCCUGGUGUCGCGGUGAAAUGCGUAGAUAUCAGGAGGCACCCCGGUGGCGAAGGCGGCCUGCUGGACUGCACCUGCCGUUGCGGCCCGCCAGCGUGGGGAGCACACAGGAUUAGAUACCCUUGUAGUC